GACGAACGCUGGCGGCGUGCUUAACACAUGCAAGUCGAACGGAAAGGCCCUGCUUUUGUGGGGUGCUCGAGUGGCGAACGGGUGAGUAACACGUGAGUAACCUGCCCUUGACUUUGGGAUAACUUCAGGAAACUGGGGCUAAUACCGGAUAGGAGCUCCUGCUGCAUGGUGGGGGUUGGAAAGUUUCGGCGGGUGGGGAUGGACUCGCGGCUUAUCAGCUUGUUGGUGGGGUAGUGGCUUACCAAGGCUUUGACGGGUAGCCGGCCUGAGAGGGUGACCGGCCACAUUGGGACUGAGAUACGGCCCAGACUCCUACGGGAGGCAGCAGUGGGGAAUAUUGCACAAUGGGCGGAAGCCUGAUGCAGUAACGCCGCGUGCGGGAUGACGGCCUUCGGGUUGUAAACCGCUUUCGCCUGUGACGAAGCGUGAGUGACGGUAAUGGGUAAAGAAGCACCGGCUAACUACGUG
rnacentral:rRNA from 1 species